rnacentral:rRNA from 1 species
GAUGAACGCUAGCGGCAGGCCUAACACAUGCAAGUCGAGGGAGGAGCCUUCGGGCUUCGACCGGCGUACGGGUGCGUAAGGCGUAUACAAUCUGCCUUUCACAUAGGGAUAGCCCGAAGAAAUGUGGAUUAAUACCUAAUGGUAUAUAGAUGUGGCAUCACCUUUAUAUUAAAGCUGAGGCUGUGAAAGAUGAGUAUGCGUUCUAUUAGCUAGUUGGAGAGGUAACGGCUCCCCAAGGCGACGAUAGAUAGGGGUUCUGAGAGGGAUAUCCCCCACACUGGUACUGAGAUACGGACCAGACUCCUACGGGAGGCAGCAGUGAGGAAUAUUGGACAAUGGUCGGAAGACUGAUCCAGCCAUGCCGCGUGCAGGAAGACGGCCUUAUGGGUUGUAAACUGCUUUUGCAGGGGAAGAAUAAGGACUACGCGUAGUUUGAUGACGGUACUCUGCGAAUAAGCAUCGGCUAACUCCGUG